rfam:Rhizobium tibeticum isolate CCBAT85039 genome assembly, contig: CCBAT85039_contig81
AGUCAAGAGUCUUUGGCAUCGUUAUUGGUGAGCGGAUUUCUUUUGCCUUUUGGAAGGUGAAGGAAGAUG